AAUUCCUACGGGACGCAGCAGUAGGGAAUCUUCCACAAUGGGCGAAAGCCUGAUGGAGCAACGCCGCGUGGGUGAAGAAGGUCUUCGGAUUGUAAAACCCUGUUGUUAGAGAAGAAAGUGCGUGAGAGUAACUGUUCACGUUUCGACGGUAUCUAACCAGAAAGCCACGGCUAACUACGUGCCAGCAGCCGCGGUAAUACGUGGGUGGCAAGCGUUAUCCGGAUUUAUUGGGCGUAAAGGGAACGCAGGCGGUUCAAUAAGUCUGAUGUGAAAGCCUUCGGCUCAACCGGAGAAUUGC
rnacentral:rRNA from 1 species